CGCCGCUAAUAUCUUCUACUCUUCUCUCCCUCUCCACUAUGAAAUGGCUCUCCGGAUGGUCAACGCCGUGUCCGAUUGGUCAACCGUCAAGCACGCCCUCGACCUUGGCUGCGGCCGGGGCAUUCUACUCAACGCCGUUGCCACUCAGCUGAAGAAGGUAAAAUUCACUUGAUAAUAUAGAUAUUUUGAAUAAUGUUUUGUUUGUUUUUCUUAUCCUUUCAUUCAAUUACUACGUGAUGAUGGAAAGGGUAAAAUAUGUUGAAUGUUUUAAGGGAGAUAUUAUUGGUCUUCUAAUAUUGUGUUAAAAAAAUAAAUUAACGUUGAAUUAAAAGAAAAUUUAAGUAGAUAGUGUGUUACCUUUUGCGGAAGAUACGGCCACAUCUUUUGACUCCACCUACUUUGUUAGACACUAAAAUAAAGUAACAAGUGGAGAGAUGAGGGUAAAUUUAAUAGUAUUGGAUUAAUUUUGUAAACAGGAAG
rnacentral:lncRNA from 1 species